rnacentral:pre_miRNA from 1 species
UGAGUAUUACUUCAGGUACUGAGUUCAGUUUGCUGCUUCAGUAUCUGCUGUGCUAUUCGUG